rnacentral:rRNA from 1 species
AUGAAUCCCCUGACGCAGGUGAAGCGGACGCAGGUGAUAAACCAGAAGGAGGCGGCGCUGGGCCUCAGCGAGGACGCCUCCUGGCACGCCAAGUUCAGGGGCUCCGCCUACGUCUUCGUCGGCGGCGUCCCCUUCGACCUCACCGAGGGCGACCUCCUCGCCGUCUUCGCCCAGUACGGCGAGGUGGUCGACGUGAACCUCGUGCGCGACAAGGCCACCGGCAAGUCCAAGGGCCUCGCGUUCGUCGCCUAUGAGGACCAGAGGUGCACGGUUCUUGCCGUCGAUAACUUGAAUGGAGCUAAGGUUCUUGGGAGGAUUAUCAGGGUUGACCAUGUGGAGAAGUACAAGAAGAAGGAAGAGAAGGACGAGAAGGAGCUGCAGAAGAAGAGGGAGGAGCGCGGCGUGUGCUAUGCUUUCCAGAAAGGCGAGUGCAACCGCGGCAAUGCGUGCAAAUAUUCCCAUGAUGAACAGAGAAAUGCAAACACUGGUUGGGGUUCUAAGGAGGAUGACCCAAAAUGGGAGCAUGAUAGGCACCGUGGUCCACAAAAUAAGGGGGAAUCCCGUGGCAUCUGCUAUGCUUUCCAGAAAGGCGAAUGCAGUCAGGGAGAUUCCUGCAGAUUUUCACAUGAUGAGCAGAGGAAUGCAAACACUGAUCGAGGUUCUAGGGAGGACAGCAAUGCAAGGCGGCAGCAUGACCAUGAUCCACCAAAGAGCCACAAAAAUUUCGCUGACAGGAAUAAAGAAGAGGCGAGAUCAGGGGGUUUCCUCAAGAUCAGAGUUGUACAGGGACCGAGAUUCCAGGUCAGAGACAUGGUGAUGGAGACACAAAACAUAGUGACAGGACCAGGCACGAGAAAUCCCCCGAGAGAUCAAGAGGCGACAGACAGAGAGGCGAUGACAGGGGAAGAGAAGAAAGAUCGGACAUAA